GACAGAGGGUGCAAACGUUGUUCGGAAUUACUGGGCGUAAAGCGAGUGUAGGCGGUCUUAAAAGUCAGGUGUGAAAGCCCCGGGCUCAACCCGGGAAGUGCACUUGAAACUGUUUAGCUUGAGGACGAGAGAGGUGAGUGGAAUUCCCAGUGUAGAGGUGAAAUUCGUAGAUAUUGGGAAGAACACCGGUGGCGAAGGCGGCUCACUGGCUCGUAUCUGACGCUCAGGCGCGAUAGCGUGGGGAUCAAACAGG
rnacentral:rRNA from 1 species